rnacentral:rRNA from 1 species
UACAGAGGGUGCGAGCGUUAAUCGGAAUUACUGGGCGUAAAGCGCACGUAGGUGGCGACGUAAGUCGGGUGUGAAGGCCCCGGGCUCAACCUGGGAAUUGCAUUCGAGACUGCAUUGCUGGAGUACGGAAGAGGAAGGCGGAAUUCCCGGUGUAGCGGUGAAAUGCGUAGAUAUCGGGAGGAACAUCAGUGGCGAAGGCGGCCUUCUGGUCCAGUACUGACACUCAAGUGCGAAAGCGUGGGGAGCAAACAGG